CAACCUUCCGUANACUCNNGGAUAGCCUUUCGAAANAAAGAUUAAUACCUGAUGGUAUGAUGAGAUUGCAUGAUANCAUCAUUAAAGAUUUNUCGGUGUACGAUGGGGAUGCGUUCCAUUANGUAGUAGGCGGGGUAACGGCCCACCUAGCCNACGAUGAAUAGGGGUUCUGAGAGGAAGGUCCCCCACAUUGGAACUGAGACACGGUCCAAACUCCUACGGGAGGCAGCAGUGAGGAAUAUUGGUCAAUGGACGAGAGUCUGAACCAGCCAAGUAGCGUGAAGGAUGAANGUCCUACGGAUUGUAAACUUCUUUUAUAANGGAGUAAACCCUCCCACGUGUGNNAGCUUGUAUGUACCUUAUGAAUAANNAUCGGCUAACUCCGUGCCAGCAGCCGCGGUAAUACGGAGGAUGCGAGCGUUAUCCGGAUUUAUUGGGUUUAAAGGGAGCGCAGACGGNUCNUUAAGUCANCUGUGAAAGUUUGNGGCUCAACCUUAAAAUUGCAGUUGAUACUGNNNNCCUUGAGUGCGGUUGANGUGUGCGGAAUUCGUGGUGUAGCGGUGAAAUGCUUAGAUAUCACGAAGAACUCCGAUUG
rnacentral:rRNA from 1 species